UACGUAGGGUGCAAGCGUUGUCCGGAAUUAUUGGGCGUAAAGAGCUCGUAGGCGGUUUGCCGCGUCUGCUGUGAAAACCCGAGGCUCAACCUCGGGCCUGCAGUGGGUACGGGCAGACUAGAGUGCGGUAGGGGAGAUUGGAAUUCCUGGUGUAGCGGUGGAAUGCGCAGAUAUCAGGAGGAACACCAAUGGCGAAGGCAGAUCUCUGGGCCGUAACUGACGCUGAGGAGCGAAAGCAUGGGGAGCGAACAGA
rnacentral:rRNA from 1 species